AUUGAACGCUGGCGGCAUGCUUUACACAUGCAAGUCGAACGGUAACAGGGUGCUUGCACCGCUGACGAGUGGCGAACGGGUGAGUAAUGCGUCGGAACGUGCCGAGUAGUGGGGGAUAACGCAUCGAAAGGUGUGCUAAUACCGCAUACGUACUGAGAUAGAAAGUGGGGGACCUUCGGGCCUCACGCUAUUCGAGCGGCCGACGUCUGAUUAGGUAGUUGGUGAGGUAAAGGCUCACCAAGGCGACGAUCAGUAGCGGGUCUGAGAGGAUGAUCCGCCACACUGGGACUGAGACACGGCCCAGACUCCUACGGGAGGCAGCAGUGGGGAAUUUUGGACAAUGGGCGCAAGCCUGAUCCAGCCAUGCCGCGUGUCUGAAGAAGGCCUUCGGGUUGUAAAGGACUUUUGUCCGGGAGCAAAUACCCAGUGCUAAUAACGCUGGGGGCUGAGAGUACCGGAAGAAUAAGCACCGGCUAACUACGUGCCAGCCGCCGCGGUAACAC
rnacentral:rRNA from 1 species